UAUUAAAUAUUUAUAGGAUAGAGAUGGGCUCGCGUGACAUUAGCUAGUUGGUAGGGUAACGGCUUACCAAGGCGACGAUGUCUAGGGGCUCUGAGAGGAGAAUCCCCCACACUGGUACUGAGACACGGACCAGAUUCCUACGGGAGGCAGCAGUAAGGAAUAUUGGUCAAUGGGCGGAAGCCUGAACCAGCCAUGCCGCGUGCAGGAUGACUGCCCUAUGGGUUGUAAACUGCUUUUGUCCAGGAAUAAACCUCUUUACGAGUAGAGAGCUGAAUGUACUGGAAGAAUAAGGAUCGGCUAACUCCGUGCCAGCAGCCGCGGUAAUACGGAGGAUCCGAGCGUUAUCCGGAUUUAUUGGGUUUAAAGGGUGCGUAGGCGGCCUAUUAAGUCAGGGGUGAAAUACGGUGGCUCAACCAUCGCAGUGCCUUUGAUACUGAUGGGCUUGAAUCCAUUUGAAGUGGGCGGAAUAAGACAAGUAGCGGUGAAAUGCAUAGAUAUGUCUUAGAACUCCGAUUGCGAAGGCAGCUCACUAAGC
rnacentral:rRNA from 1 species